AGCAGCCGCGGUAAUUCCAGCUCCAAUAGCGUAUAUUAAAGUUGUUGCAGUUAAAAGCUCGUAGUUGAAUUUCGGGGUUAGCAGGUCGGUCGUGCCAUCGGUAUGAACUGGUCUCGCUGAUCCCUCCCUCUUGACGAACUGUGAUGCCAUUAAUUUGGUGUCGCAGGGAAUCAGGACUGUUACUUUGAAAAAAUUAGAGUGUUUAAAGCAGGCUCACGCUUGAAUACAUUAGCAUGGAAUAAUGAAAUAGGACGUUUGAUCCUAUUUUGUUGGCUUCUAGGAUUGACGUAAUGAUUAAUAGGGAUAGUUGGGGGCAUUAGUAUUCAAUUGUCAGAGGUGAAAUUCUUGGAUUUAUUGAAGACUAACUACUGCGAAAGCAUUUGCCAAGGAUGUUUUCAUUAAUCAAGAACGAAAGUUAGGGGAUCGAAGACGAUCAGAUACCGUCGUAGUCUUAACCAUAAACUAUGCCGACUAGGGAUCGGAUGAUGUUAAUUUUUUAAUGACUCAUUCGGCGCCUUAC
rnacentral:sRNA from 1 species